GACGAACGCUGGCGGCGUGCUUAACACAUGCGAGUCGAACGGAAAGGCCCUGCUUUUGUGGGGUGCUCGAGUGGCGAACGGGUGAGUAACACGUGAGUAACCUGCCCUUGACUUUGGGAUAACUUCAGGAAACUGGGGCUAAUACCGGAUAGGAGCUCCUGCUGCAUGGUGGGGGUUGGAAAGUUUCGGCGGUUGGGGAUGGACUCGCGGCUUAUCAGCUUGUUGGUGGGGUAGUGGCUUACCAAGGCUUUGACGGGUAGCCGGCCUGAGAGGGUGACCGGCCACAUUGGGACUGGGAUACGGCCCAGACUCCUACGGGAGGCAGCAGUGGGCAAUAUGGCACAAUGGGCGGAAGCCUGAUGCAGCAACGCCGCGUGCGGGAUGACGGCCUUCGGGUUGUAAACCGCUUUCGCCUGUGACGAGGCGUGAGUGACGGUAAUGGGUAAAGAAGCACCGGCUAACUACGUG
rnacentral:rRNA from 1 species